CUUUGAUGAUUGUGUUCACCAUUGCACUUUUCCCCACACCGGUUGCUCCGAGGAGGAACAAUACUUCCGGUGUCUUUCUGUCCGGACUGUAACAAAAUAAAUCCAAUAGGAAGCUAGGUGAAAAUACGUCAAUAACCCGCAAGAUGUGCAGCAGUUACGCAACUCGUCAUGCUGUCUUUCUGCUUGUCAGCAACACGCAUGGUGAUGACAGCGAUGCCAGCAUCCAUAGACUGGAUUGUGCGUGAAACCAUAUGAGCCGCGCUCUGGGAAAACCGGCCUUAAUGUUGCGCGCAAAUGCUCGUUGACUAUAUAUCGAUAGAUGAAGCAAUGAAUGACGAACAUGUAUUGGCUGACGCCAACAACUUGAGAGUGGCUUAUGUGUUUUAUGUCGAAUUCUAUUCUUGCUUCGCAACCGUCACGCCAGUUCAGCGGUUCAAGAACACGCCUGCAACGGAUUCAAUACAUUCGAUAUGUGUAUACAAACGUGUAUAAGACGACCGCACACGUUUGCACAUCCUGGAUUAAACCUUCCACCAUGGAAAUAAUAUCUGAAUAGAAAAACGAUGCUUUCAGUGAUUAAAUUCUUGAAUAAAGUAAGAAUCGAUCGUUAAUUAGUUUUAUUCUUUGGAAC